UACGUAGGGGGCUAGCGUUGUCCGGAAUCAUUGGGCGUAAGGCGCGUGUAGGCGGUUCGGUAAGUCUGCUGUGAAAGUCGGGGGCUCAACCCUCGAAUGCCGGUGGAUACUGUCGGACUAGAGUGCGGAAGAGGCGAGUGGAAUUCCUGGUGUAGCGGUGAAAUGCGCAGAUAUCAGGAGGAACACCAAUUGCGAAGGCAGCUCGCUGGGACGUUACUGACGCUGAGACGCGAAAGCGUGGGGAGCAAACAGG
rnacentral:rRNA from 1 species